rnacentral:ribozyme from 13 species
GUAAUAAAUAAAGCGUGAGAAGAAGAAGAAGAAAAAAAUUCUUGGAAAAUUUCUUCAUUUUUUUGUUUUCUUUCUUUUUCUCCAUCUACCUGUCGAUAACCUUGGCAAGCUUGAUAAAA